rnacentral:misc_RNA from 1 species
GGAAUAAAAGUCGUAACAAGGUCUCCGUUGGUGAACCAGCGGAGGGAUCAUUACCGAGUUUACAACUCCCAAACCCAAUGUGAACCAUACCAAACUGUUGCCUCGGCGGGGUCACGCCCCGGGUGCGUCGCAGCCCCGGAACCAGGCGCCCGCCGGAGGGACCAACCAAACUCUUUCUGUAGUCCCCUCGCGGACGUUAUUUUUACAGCUCUGAGCAAAAAUUCAAAAUGAAUCAAAACUUUCAACAACGGAUCUCUUGGUUCUG